GACGGGAACGGGGAAGAGACCCGGCUGGCAGCCGGGCACCGAAGGGGCAAGCCAGGUUGCGUACCAGACCCGGCGAAACUCUCAGGUAAAAGGACCCCGCUCUCGCU
rnacentral:ncRNA from 2 species